rnacentral:misc_RNA from 1 species
CCUCUUUCUUCUCUCUUAUCCACAUCCUAUAUGCUGAUUGCAUUACAUCAGCAGAUUCCUGAACCUCUUCAGCUGCAGAAAAGAAGGCAUCUUUUUGCCACAGAUCGAAACUGUUAGCUACCAUCAUCUUCUCUUUCCUCGCCUUCUCAAUAAAUCAAAGCCAAAAAAGAAAUAGAAUUGGAGAUCAAAUCCGUCCAAGCACAAAAAACCAGAUAUAAGAUAUAAUUGACAGAACAAAAUAAGCGUGUCUGGUGCUGCUUGGAAGGAUUUCCUUUCCUUUCCGUUCUCCUCUAUUCGUUUCCUUUCUCCUCUUCACUUCUGUGUUGAAGAGAAGCAAAG